UAAUACUGGAUAUUGACUUUACCUCGCAUGGGGUUUGGUUGAAAGAUUUAUUGGUUUUGGAUGGACUCGCGGCCUAUCAGCUUGUUGGUGAGGUAAUGGCUCACCAAGGCGACGACGGGUAGCCGGCCUGAGAGGGUGACCGGCCACACUGGGACUGAGACACGGCCCAGACUCCUACGGGAGGCAGCAGUGGGGAAUAUUGCACAAUGGGCGAAAGCCUGAUGCAGCGACGCCGCGUGAGGGAUGACGGCCUUCGGGUUGUAAACCUCUUUCAGUAGGGAACAAGGCCAGCAUUUUUGUUGGUUGAGGGUACUUGCAGAAGAAGCGCCGGCUAACUACGUGCCAGCAGCCGCGGUAAUACGUAGGGCGCAAGCGUUAUCCGGAAUUAUUGGGCGUAAAGAGCUCGUAGGCGGUUUGUCGCGUCUGCCGUGAAAGUCCGGGGCUCAACUCCGGAUCUGCGGUGGGUACGGGCAGACUAGAGUGAUGUAGGGGAGACUGGAAUUCCUGGUGUAGCGGUGAAAUGCGCAGAUAUCAGGAGGAACACCGAUGGCGAAGGCAGGUCUCUGGGCAUUAACUGACGCUGAGGAGCGAAAGCAUGGGGAGCGAACAGGAUUAGAUACCCUGGUAGUCCAUGCCGUAAACGUUGGGCACUAGGUGUGGGGGACAUUCCACGUUUUCCGCGCCGUAGCUAACGCAUUAAGUGCCCCGCCUGGGGAGU
rnacentral:rRNA from 1 species